GACGAACGCUGGCGGCGUGCUUAACACAUGCAAGUCGAACGAAGUGGAGAACGGGUGAGUAACGCGUAAUCAACCUGCCAUUCAGAGGGGGACAACAGUGGGAAACGACUGCUAAUACCGCAAAAUGAAGGAGGGGAGUGCGUCUGAGUAGCUAGUUGGAGGGGUAACGGCCCACCAAGGCGAUGAGCAGUAGCCGGUCUGAGAGGCUGAACGGCAACAUUGGGACUGAGACACGGCCCAGACUCCUACGGGAGGCAGCAGUGGGGAAUCUUCCGCAAUGGACGAAAUUCUGACGGGGCAACGCCGCGUUAGUGAUGACGGCCUUCGGGUUGUAAAGCUCUGUUAUUCGGGACGCGGUACCGGAAUAGAAAGCCACGGCUAACUACGUGCCAGCAGCCGCGGUAAUAC
rnacentral:rRNA from 1 species